rnacentral:ncRNA from 1 species
ACACUUGUUGAUAGGCAUGAAGACUGAGGCUUUGCAAAGUGUCUCAGAAGCAUAGAGGAAAAAUUUCCCGAAGUCCAUGGCCUUGAUCAUGAUUAUAUUUGAGGGUCAUUCGAUCAUGUCAUAAGAUUUCCCAAAAAUCAAUCUCAAUGAAGAGGGUGUUGAAAUCAAGGAAACAUUUGAGGGCAUUCCAUAACUUUUUCCCCUUUAAGAAAUAUCCCAAAAAACCUUCCAUCCAAAGUCCACAAAAUUGAAACCCAUUUUUGAGAGUUGUUGGUGCCUCAUCCUAUAACUGACGACAACGUUAGGAAAUCUAGAGGCGUCGUCGGGGGCCCCAGGAAGAGUUAUCUUUUCUUUUUAACAGCUUGUGCACCCUUAAAUCGGCUCAACUAGAGAUAGGGUCCAACAGCUAGAAGAGCAUCACACGUCUUGCAGUGUCUGGUGCACCCUCGAUAGCCCUUGAAAAUAUGGAGGACCAAGUACCGUCCAUGCCCGGUCAUACUCAUAACUGCAUCAGGUCUCCAAGGUGAACAACCUCUGGUCAAUAGAACAAUGUAGGUAAGGGAAGUCAAAAAAACGGAUCUGUAACUUCAGGAAAAGGAUU